UACGUAGGGUGCAAGCGUUGUCCGGAAUUAUUGGGCGUAAAGAGCUUGUAGGCGGUUUGUCGCGUCUGCUGUGAAAUUUCGGGGCUCAACCCCGAACUUGCAGUGGGUACGGGCAGACUAGAGUGUGGUAGGGGAGACUGGAAUUCCUGGUGUAGCGGUGAAAUGCGCAGAUAUCAGGAGGAACACCGAUGGCGAAGGCAGGUCUCUGGGCCAUAACUGACGCUGGGAAGCGAAAGCAUGGGGAGCGAACAGGA
rnacentral:rRNA from 1 species